rnacentral:piRNA from 1 species
AGGGCUGAUGAAAGCUCAUGGAUGGCCU